AACGAACGCUGGCGGCAUGCCUAACACAUGCGAGUCGAACGAUCCCUUCGGGGAUAGUGGCGCACGGGUGCGUAACGCGUGGGAACCUGCCCUUAGGUUCGGAAUAACUCAGAGAAAUUUGAGCUAAUACCGGAUAAUGUCUUCGGACCAAAGAUUUAUCGCCUUUGGAUGGGCCCGCGUUGGAUUAGCUAGUUGGUGGGGUAAAGGCCUACCGAGGCGACGAUCCAUAGCUGGUCUGAGAGGAUGAUCAGCCACACUGGGACUGAGACACGGCCCAGACUCCUACGGGAGGCAGCAGUGGGGAAUAUUGGACAAUGGGCGAAAGCCUGAUCCAGCAAUGCCGCGUGAGUGAUGAAGGCCUUAGGGUUGUAAAGCUCUUUUACCCGGGAUGAUAAUGACAGUACCGGGAGAAUAAGCCCCGGCUAACUCCGUG
rnacentral:rRNA from 1 species